rnacentral:rRNA from 1 species
UACGUAGGGGGCAAGCGUUGUCCGGAAUUAUUGGGCGUAAAGAGCGUGUAGGCGGUUCAAUAAGUUCGCUGUAAAAGUCCAGGGCUCAACCCUGGAAAGCCGGUGGAUACUGUUGAACUAGAGUUCGGAAGAGGCGAGUGGAAUUCCUGGUGUAGCGGUGAAAUGCGCAGAUAUCAGGAGGAACACCUAUAGCGAAGGCAGCUCGCUGGGACGAUACUGACGCUGAGACGCGAAAGCGUGGGGAGCAAACAGG